UGAGGAAUAUUGCACAAUGGGGGCAACCCUGAUGCAGCGACGCCGCGUGGGUGAUGAAGGUUUUCGGAUCGUAAAGCCCUUUUCUGCAUGACGAGCAAAGGACGGUAGUGCAGGAAUAAGUGUCGGCUAACUACGUGCCAGCAGCCGCGGUAAAACGUAGGACACAAGCGUUAUCCGGAAUUACUGGGCGUAAAGGGAGUGCAGGCGGUUGCGUAAGUUAGGCGUGAAAGACUUCGGCUAAACCGGGGGAGGUCGUCUGAUACUGCGCAACUAGAGUAUGGUAGAGGCGUGUAGAAUUCCGGGUGUAGUGGUGAAAUGCGUAGAGAUCCGGAGGAAUACCAGUGGCGAAGGCGGCACGCUGGGCCAUAACUGACGCUAAGACUCGAAAGCAUGGGUAGCGAACGGGAUUAGAUACCCUAGUAGUCCCUGAGCGGGCUGGCAAGGCGCAU
rnacentral:rRNA from 1 species